CGAAGCCUCGGAGGUUGUGGAGCCAGGGCCCGGUCUCAGUGGCAGCCGAGACCCCGCUGGCCGGAAGGGAGCCCCCGGGGGCUUGGGCCCGGGUUUUGGGGGCCCGGUCCGGCGCUCUGGUUCAGACGAAGCGGCCUUGAUGCUUCCGCCCGGAAGACUUCGGAGGCCCCGAUCCAAGCCUGGCCGAGCUGGGACAUCCCCGCUGUCCUCCCGGGAUGCCCGCCCCGGCCCUCCCCUCCCUCUUCCCGGGCAUGGGGAGGGCCCUUCGCUCCCUUAUCUCCGGGGGCCUUUUGACGCUGACACCGACUCAUGUGCCCUGAUUCACACUUCCUGGCUUCCUGCUCCGAGAUCCCACAGCCCCGGCUCCUCCCGCUGCCCAGUCCCUGGGCGACCGUGGCCCAGCCAGUCCCCAUCCCUGGGGAUCCCGACCGUUAGCUGUAAAGUGAAAGGAAAUAAAAGUCAGCAAAUUCUGAGGUGGCAAACUUUGGCUCAGCAAGCAUUUAUGAAGUGCCUACUGCAUGCGGAGGGUAGAGAAGCUAAUAAGAACAAUUAAAUGAUCCUUCCUCACCUGGAGUCUAUAUUCUCAUGCAAAUGGAUUCAUUAGAAAGGGGAGAGAUCUUCAGGUUUCCGAGCUGGAAGGGGUCCAAGGCCACGGGCAGUAAAGGUGCUUUACUUUGCCCCCGGGGCUGAGAGCUGCUUCCACCCCCUGAUCACCCCUUCAGGAAAAAUCUGCUUAGAAAAUGCAGAUCACAUUAGUAAGAAUGAGCUGUUCCUGAGCAAAACAAGAACAAGGCACCCAGAAUGCAACAGUGAGUGCAUCCUUCCCUCCGAUGGAGCCUGGUCCGGAGGGAGAUCUCGUGUUACUUUGCUCUCCGUUUGCUGGGACCCUUGAGGCAGGCACUAGAUGCUGGUUGCAUGGGCAGAAAAGGCCAUCCUGAGAGGCGAGCAGGGCGCUGACCUCUGUGGCCAAUUCCUCUUUCCUACUUCAUUUCUUACAAAGGCCUGAUGUCAGGAAUCACACAAGGAAUGAAUGUUGAAGGCAAAAUUUGACCCUGAAAUUUCCUGACUCGAGGAGCAGUUUCUAUCCAUUAUAAUUGUUGGACUUUUUUAACUGGCAGAGAAGGCAAAGCUUGUGGUACUUACCUUCCUUUUUUUUGGUCUCAAUGUAAAAACAAAGCAAAACAAAAACCCUACAAUCAAAAGCAUCUCCUUUACCCAGAGACCCAAGGGGAUGGCUGUUGCCAUGGUUACCUGCUCUCUCAUUGCCGGCAGGUUUCCUGGUUUUCUGCUACUUUCCCCAUUAUGGUUCUGACCCCAUUCAUGCGUGUGUAGAAAGCCUGUGGUCAUUCUGAUGUAGUGAAGAGUGAAUGAUUUAGCUUUGAUGUUUAAUGAUUUACUUCCUGCUCCUUCUGGUAGUUUGCCAUCACUUGAAGACAGCUGGGCAGAAGGAUCUGGGGUUCCACUUGCUUAAACAUUGAAUAUCUUACCUGGCUGGGGGCAAGAGGCGGGUUUUGCCAUCUCUGGACAGACGUGGGUGAUUGAUGAAAACGGAGGAGCUGAUGAGAAGUUUGGAAGACAGAAAGCCGGCCUCAAACCCAAGAGCACUGGCUUCCCAGACUGCUCUGAACAUAUUUGGGUUGUGUGACUCUGGACAAGGAGAUUAACCUUCCAUAGCACCAGGCAACUCUCUAAAAAAAGACUAAAUUUGCAGAGGGCCUGACCUCCGUUGGUAGAGAGAAGUUUUUUCCUCUGGGAGGUUUCUAUACCAGUUCUGUCACAGGUAACAUCAAUAGAGUCUCCAGUCAAUCCCCUGAGCCAAAAGCUUCCUUUUCCUCUUUUAGUUCCCCCACUUCUUCAUCUGAAUCUCUCCUAUCCCGAAUUAGACUUCUCUGUGAACACAUGGCAGCCACUGCUCUGCUCCAGAUGACUUGAAAUGUAGGCCCUGGAUCCUGAGCUGGGUGGGACACCUGGGGCAUCUCAUCCAACAGAGAAGGAAAGAGAGGUCGGAGAUGUGCUCCGGGUCCCACAAGGAGUCGGUGUCAGAAGUGGGACAUGACCAGGCCAGCAGCUCUAUGCAGAACUGCCCUGCAUCGGCCCGAGGGGCCAGACUCUGACCCCGCUGUUCGCUGGCCACCCUCAUGCCCCACAGGGCAUGGGACAGAGGGCAGUGGCACAAAGGUCUCACCAGGAGACUUUGCAGCUGCUCCUCCCUGACCUUUGUUGCUUUUCUCUGUCCCUCGUGGGGAAGCAGCACUUCUGGCUCGGUAAUGGGUCCCCUCCCACUAGGUCCCAGAGAAUCCCACGUAUGGAAGGCUCAGACCCAUGCAACCAGGCCAGAAUCAUGCUCAUGUUCUCCUUUAGUGCUAUCCCGAUGUGCUUUCCACACCUUUUCCACAAAGGUGCUCCAGGUCUUAGAAAGCCCAUUUUAGAGUUAAUGACUUUAGAGGCUCGGGGUCGCACCCCUUCAGAAAUGCCCUGGAAGUUCAGCUCUUCCUGAGGCGCAGGCUGUGCCCCGAGCUUCCGACCACACUGGGAAAUGACUGAUGCUUGCUCUGCGGUUGCCAGUCCUUCGUCCUCUCCCUGACAGAGGAAGGCAUAGCUGGGAGUCAAUGGAAGGACCUUAGAAGGGAAGCACUUCCCCCUCCCCCAGGGUAGGGAUCUCUUCCCACAGAAUUGUCUUGCCUCUUUCUGGAUAUUGUCCCAGUACCAGACAGCUCACUACCACAGAAGGUGUAGCUUCCCUGUGGACAGCUGGAAUUAGAACAUUCUUUAGAUCAAGCUGACCUUGGGCUCUUGUGCUUCCAGCCCAUUGUCCUUAUUCUCUAUUCCGAAGCUUCAUGAAAAAAGUCUCAUCUCUCUCCUGUGAGCUGACCUCCCAAACAUUUCAAUUCAAUCAGGUCCCACCCAGUUGAAUUCAACAAGCAUUUAUUAAGCACCUACUGUGUAACAGGUGCUGUGCUAAGCACUAGGACUAAAAGGACAAAAAUGACAACGUCCCUCCUUUAUGCAGCCUAUGUUAUGUCCAGGAUUAAUUUAAACCCCAUGACCAAGCACGUAGGAAUGCAAACAAAGGAUGGCCCCUGUGAGAACCUACCAAGAACUGGGGUGGGAGCAGGACUCAGAGGAGGAUGGGAGAGUUCUCCUGAAGAGCCAGGACCUGGGCCCUGCUUCCGAGGAAGCCAGCGAUUGAAAGAGGGGACGUUGGGAAGGGAGGGCGUUCCAAGCAUGGGCAGAGGCUGAGGAAGACUUAACGUCCCCUACAACAUGUCACCCAAAGGUUAAUUGGAAUGGAGAAAGUGUGAAGAGCAAUGAGCUGAAAUGAGCCUGGAGGGAGGGGAUUGGGGUGGAUUUAAAUGUCUCUCUUGUCGCUUCUUACUCUCCUCUGCUGCAGGUUAAGCAGUCUCAGUUCCCUCUGCUGUUUCCUGUGACCUGCUGGCUUCUCGAUCACCUUCCUCUUUAUCCCCCCCCCCC